rnacentral:rRNA from 1 species
GACGAACGCUGGCGGCGUGCUUAACACAUGCAAGUCGAACGGAAAGGCCCUGCUUUUGUGGGGUGCUCGAGUGGCGAACGGGUGAGUAACACGUGAGUAACCUGCCCUUGACUUUGGGAUAACUUCAGGAAACUGGGGCUAAUACCGGAUAGGAGCUCCUGCUGCAUGGUGGGGGUUGGAAAGUUUCGGCGGUUGGGGAUGGUCUCGCGGCUUAUCAGCUUGUUGGUGGGGUAGUGGCUUACCAAGGCUUUGACGGGUAGCCGGCCUGAGAGGGUUACCGGCCACAUUGCGACUGAGAUACGGCCCAGACUCCUACGGGAGGCAGCAGUGGGGAAUAUUGCGCAAUAGGCGGAAGCCUGAUGCAGAAACGCCGCGUGCGGGAUGACGGCCUUCGGGUUGAAAACCGCUUUCGCCUGUGACGAAGCGUGAGUGACGGUAAUGGGUAAAGAAGCACCGGCUAACUACGUG